rnacentral:tRNA from 1 species
GCCCCCAUCGUCUAAUCGGUUACGACACCUCUCUUUCACGGAGAAAAUGGGGAUUCGAUCUCCCCUGGGGGUA